UCCGGGCGGUUCCCCCUUCGGGGGGACGAGGGUGGACAGGUGGUGCAUGGUUGUCGUCAGCUCGUGUCGUGAGAUGUUGGGUUAAGUCCCGCAACGAGCGCAACCCUCGACCUUAGUUGCCAGCAUUCAGUUGGGCACUCUAAGGUGACUGCCGGCUAAAAGUCGGAGGAAGGUGGGGAUGACGUCAAAUCAUCAUGCCCCUUAUGACCUGGGCUACACACGUGCUACAAUGGGCGGUACAAAGGGUCGCGAACCCGCGAGGGGGAGCCAAUCCCAAAAAGCCGCUCUCAGUUCGGAUUGCAGGCUGCAACUCGCCUGCAUGAAGCCGGAAUCGCUAGUAAUCGCGGAUCAGCAUGCCGCGGUGAAUACGUUCCCGGGCCUU
rnacentral:rRNA from 1 species